GACAGAGGGUGCAAACGUUGUUCGGAAUUACUGGGCGUAAAGCGAGUGUAGGCGGUCUACUAAGUCGGGUGUGAAAGCCCUGGGCUCAACCCAGGAAGUGCACUCGAAACUGGUGGGCUAGAGUAUCGGAGAGGUUGGUGGAAUUCUCGGUGUAGAGGUGAAAUUCGUAGAUAUCGAGAGGAACACCGGUGGCGAAGGCGGCCAACUGGACGAAUACUGACGCUGAGACACGAAAGCGUGGGGAGCAAACAGG
rnacentral:rRNA from 1 species